UACGUAGGGUGCGAGCGUUGUCCGGAAUUAUUGGGCGUAAAGAGCUUGUAGGUGGUUUGUCGCGUCUGCUGUGAAAAUCCGAGGCUCAACCUCGGACUUGCAGUGGAUACGGGCAGACUAGAGGUAGGUAGGGGAGAAUGGAAUUCCUGGUGUAGCGGUGAAAUGCGCAGAUAUCAGGAGGAACACCGGUGGCGAAGGCGGUUCUCUGGGCCUUACCUGACACUGAGGAGCGAAAGCGUGGGGAGCGAACAGG
rnacentral:rRNA from 1 species